rnacentral:rRNA from 1 species
UACGUAGGGUGCAAGCGUUAAUCGGAAUUACUGGGCGUAAAGCGUGCGCAGGCGGUUUUGUAAGACUGUCGUGAAAUCCCCGGGCUUAACCUGGGAAUGGCGAUGGUGACUGCAAGGCUAGAGUUUGGCAGAGGGGGGUAGAAUUCCGCGUGUAGCAGUGAAAUGCGUAGAGAUCCGGAAGAACACCAAAGGCGAAGGCAGUCUGCUGGCCGUGACCUGACGCUGAGGAGCGAAAGCUAGGGGAGCGAACAGG